rnacentral:rRNA from 1 species
GUGUCAGCCGCCGCGGUAAUACGUAGGAGGCGAGCGUUAUCCGGAUUUACUGGGCGUAAAGCGGGUGCAGGCGGUUUUUCAAGUCGAAUGUAAAAUCUCCCGGCUUAACUGGGAGGGAUCAUUCGAUACUGUUAAGCUAGAGGGCAGCAGAAGGAGGUGGAAUUCCCGGUGUAGUGGUGAAAUGCGUAGAUAUCGGGAGGAACACCAGUGGCGAAGGCGGCCUCCUAGGCUGUUUCUGACGCUGAGGCCCGAAAGCGUGGGGAGCGAACAGGAUUAGAUACCCUGGUAGUCCACGCCGUAAACUAUGGACACUAGGUAUAGGGAGUAUCGACCCUCUCUGUGCCGAAGCUAACGCAUUAAGUGUCCCGCCUGGGGAGUACGGCCGCAAGGCUAAAACUUAAAGGAAUUGACGGGG